rnacentral:rRNA from 1 species
GAUGAACGCUAGCGGCAGGCUUAAUACAUGCAAGUCGAGGGGCAGCGCAGUGUAGCAAUACAUGGGCGGCGACCGGCAAACGGGUGCGGAACACGUACGCAACCUUCCUUUAAGUGGGGGAUAGCUCAGGGAAACUUGGAUUAAUACCCCGUAAUAUUAUGAAGUGGCAUCACUUUAUACUUAUAGCUCCGGCGCUUAAAGAUGGGCGUGCGACUGAUUAGGUAGUUGGCGGGGUAACGGCCCACCAAGCCUGCGAUCAGUAACUGGUGUGAGAGCACGACCAGUCACACGGGCACUGAGACACGGGCCCGACUCCUACGGGAGGCAGCAGUAAGGAAUAUUGGUCAAUGGACGCAAGUCUGAACCAGCCAUGCCGCGUGGAGGAUGAAGGUCCUCUGGAUUGUAAACUUCUUUUAUUUGGGAAGAAACCCACUGUUUCUACGGUGGUUGACGGUACCAGAUGAAUAAGCACCGGCUAACUCCGUGCCAGCCGCCGCGGUAACAC